UUGUUGUUUUUCCUCCUCAUUUUGUUAUUUAUUUUUUAAUAUGCAGCCAAGAAAGGGUUGCUUUGAAAUUCGGAGUGAUGAUGGCGAGAAGAUUAUCAGUCUUCUGGAUAUGAAACGACCAUUUACUCGUAUGAAGGAGCUGAACAUGGAGGAAGUGAUUUCAGAUAUCAUUGAGAAGAUAAAAGGAUGAUGAAGAAAGCCUUUGAUGAAAAAUUGUCUUUUAGGAUGCCAUGGUUUUUUGUGGUGGUUUGGAAGCUAAUCAACCAGAAUAGCUUUGAUGGUGGAAACUUAGGUUAUGCUCAUUGCCAAUGCCAAUGUUGUUGCCUCCUCACUUGGCAUAACUGCAAUGGUAAAACCAUCAGGUUUGAACAAACAGGGUGGAUUAUUUUUGGUUUAAGAAUCAUUUGUCUUUGAAGAAGGUUGUCCUUUGGAUUGGUAGUGGAAACCUACUCUUACACCAAGAGAGUGGCUCCAUUGCAUCCUUAAGUUACACAUAUUAUGACAUAGUAUGAUUCUUUUGGGAACAAGAGAACAGAAGCAUAAAACUAGGGGAGAGAUUCUAUGGGACA